GACGAACCGUGCGAACGUUGUUCGGAAUCACUGGGCUUAAAGGGAGCGUAGGCGGGCUGUCAAGUCUGGGGUGAAAUCCCGCGGCUCAACCGUGGAACUGCCUCAGAUACUGACGGCCUCGAGGGAGGUAGGGGCGUGCGGAACUGUGAGUGGAGCGGUGAAAUGCGUUGAUAUUCACAGGAACUCCGGUGGCGAAGGCGGCGCGCUGGACCUCUUCUGACGCUGAGGCUCGAAAGCUAGGGGAGCAAACGGG
rnacentral:rRNA from 1 species